UAGGGAAUCUUCCGCAAUGGGCGAAAGCCUGACGGAGCAACGCCGCGUGAGUGAUGAAGGUCUUCGGAUCGUAAAACUCUGUUAUUAGGGAAGAACAAAUGUGUAAGUAACUAUGCACGUCUUGACGGUACCUAAUCAGAAAGCCACGGCUAACUACGUGCCAGCAGCCGCGGUAAUACGUAGGUGGCAAGCGUUAUACGGAAUUAUUGGGCGUAAAGCGCGCGUAGGCGGUUUUUUAAGUCUGAUGUGAAAGCCCACGGCUCAACCGUGGAGGGUCAUUGGAAACUGGAAAACUUGAGUGCAGAAGAGGAAAGUAGAAUUCCAUGUGUAGCGGUGAAAUGCGCAGAGAUAUGGAGGAACACCAGUGGCGAAGGCGACUUUCUGGUCUGUAACUGACGCUGAUGUGCGAAAGCGUGGGGAUCAAACAGG
rnacentral:rRNA from 1 species